rnacentral:rRNA from 1 species
GAUGAACGCUGGCGGCGUGCCUAAUACAUGCAAGUCGAGCGAACAGACGAGGAGCUUGUUCCUCUGACGUUAGCCGCGGACGGGAGAGUAACACGUGGAUAACCUACCUAUCAGACUGGGAUAACUUCGGGAAACCGGAGCUAAUACCGGAGAAUAUAUUGAACCGCAUGGGUCAAUGGUGAAUGACGGCUUUGCUGUCACUUAUCGCUGGAUCCGCGCCGCAUUAGAUAGUUGGUAAGGUAACGGCUUUCCAAGGUGACGAUGCGUAGACGACGGGAGAGGGUGAUCGGCCACAUUAGAGCUGAGACAGCGACCAUAGGACUGAGAGAGGCAGCAGACGGCAAUCGGACGCAGUAGGCGAAAGCCUGACGGAACAACGCCAAGUGAGAGGUGACGACCUUGGGUGCGUGAAAAUCGCUUACUAGGGAAGAACAGAUUUGUAAGUAACUAUACACGGCGUGACGGUAACUAAUCAGAAAGCAACGGCUAACUACGUG